AUUGAACGCUGGCGGCAUGCCUUACACAUGCAAGUCGAACGGCAGCACGGGUGCUUGCACCUGGUGGCGAGUGGCGAACGGGUGAGUAAUACAUCGGAACGUACCUUAUCGUGGGGGAUAACGCAGCGAAAGCUGUGCUAAUACCGCAUACGCCCUGAGGGGGAAAGCGGGGGAUCGAAAGACCUCGCGCGACUAGAGCGGCCGAUGCCUGAUUAGCUUGUUGGUGGGGUAAAAGCCCACCAAGGCGACGAUCAGUAGCUGGUCUGAGAGGACGAUCAGCCACACUGGGACUGAGACACGGCCCAGACUCCUACGGGAGGCAGCAGUGGGGAAUUUUGGACAAUGGGGGCAACCCUGAUCCAGCAAUGCCGCGUGAGUGAAGAAGGCCUUCGGGUUGUGAAGCUCUUUCGUCAGGGAAGAAACACCGGCUCUAACACAGUCCGGGAAUGACGGUACCUGAAGAAUAAGCACCGGCUAACUACGUGCCAGCCGCCGCCGUAA
rnacentral:rRNA from 1 species